CCUACGGGAGGCAGCAGUAGGGAAUAUUGGUCAAUGGAUGGAAGUCUGAACCAGCCAUGCCGCGUGCAGGAAGAAGGCCUUCUGGGUUGUAAACUGCUUUUGCCAGGGGCUAAAAAGCCCAUGCGUGGGAAAUUGAAAGUACCUGGUGAAUAAGCCACGGCUAACUACGUGCCAGCAGCCGCGGUAAUACGUAGGUGGCAAGCGUUGUCCGGAUUUAUUGGGUUUAAAGGGUGCGUAGGCGGCUUUGUAAGUCAGUGGUGAAAUAUGGCAGCUCAACUGUCAAGGUGCCAUUGAUACUGCGGAGCUUGAGUACAGAUGAGGUAGGCGGAAUUGACGGUGUAGCGGUGAAAUGCUUAGAUAUCGUCAAGAACACCUAUAGCGAAGGCAGCUUACUAGGCUGUAACUGACGCUGAGGCACGAAAGUGUGGGGAUCAAACAGGAUUAGAUACCCUGGUAGUCCACACUGUAAACGUUGAUUACUCGCUGUGUGCGAUAUACAGUACGCGGCCAAGCGAAAGCGCUAAGUAAUCCACCUGGGGAGUACGCCGGCAACGGUGAAACUCAAAGGAAUUGACGGA
rnacentral:rRNA from 1 species